UGGCUCAUACCUGUAAUCCCAGCACUUCGGGAGGCUGAGGUGCAUGGAUCACAAGGUCAGGAGAUCGAGACCAUCCUGGCCAACAUGGUGAAACCCCAUCUUUACUAAAAAUACAAAAAUUAGCUGGGUGUGGUGGUACAUGNNNNNNNNNNNNNNNNNNNNNNNNNNNNNNNNNNNNNNNNNNNNNNNNNNNNNNNNNNNNNNNNNNNNNNNNNNNNNNNNNNNNNNNNNNNNNNNNNNNNNNNNNNNNNNNNNNNNNNNNNNNNNNNNNNNNNNNNNNNNNNNNNNNNNNNNNNNNNNNNNNNNNNNNNNNNNNNNNNNNNNNNNNNNNNNNCUCAGCCUCCCAUAGUGCUGGGAUUGCAAGCUUGAGCCACCGUGCUGGCCAAUUUUUUUUAAAUAAGAGAUAUGAAAGAAAUCACCUGUUUCUCUGCCACAUGAGGAAACAGCAAGAAGGCAGCCCUCUGCAAACCAGGAAGAGAGCCCUCACCAGGAUCCAAAUUGGCCAGUACCUUGAUGUUGGAUUUUCUAGCCUCCAAAACUGUGAAAAAUGUUUUUUUGUUGUUGUUUAAGCCACUGGUUCUAUGGUAUUUUUGUUAUAGCAGCCUGAACUAAGGUGAAGAUUAUGGGGGAGAGUAUAAAUAAGAGGAACAGUGGACUGCUGUGUUUUAAUAUCAUUGGUAGGCAUGGUCUGAGAGUGGCUGGCUGCAGAAGAGGCCCUGGACAGACAGGGGUUGUCCUGCUGAGAAGUGUGCACACUGCUGGUCUGAAAGUGAAAGAUCAUCCAUCUCUCAUAGGAUUCACAAGUCAAUCAUUAAGCAAGCAUUUACUGAGGACCGAUAUGAUGUGCCAGGCACAGUUCCAGGCACCGUGAACCCAAAGAGUUCUCCAAGAUACAUUCCUCAGGUAAACAGGUAAUUAGGACACCACAUGCUAAGUGGGAAGAUACAGAUAUACACAGGAAGCUACAGGAACACAAGGUGCAGGACUGAGCCCAACUCAGAGGGAGUGCUGGAAGAUUGUUAGGACAGGCUCCCUGGAGGAGGUGAUAGCUGAGCCAAGGUUUUUUCCAUAGAAGAGAUUACCAUAUUUCACCGAUUAUGAGAUGCACUUUCUUUUCCACAUUGUAACAUCUCUAAAACCGGGGUUCGUCCCAUAAUUGAUGGAGACUUGCCGUAGCUCUGAUUGUCAUUACCUGCACACAGGUAAAUUUGGUCAUUUUGUCAUCAAUUCACUUGAGUUAUUUGCAACAUUAGUACUACGCAAGUGGAGUUUAAUCACCAUUUAAAAUAUCUUCAAAGACAUUAGAUAUAGUUUGGUGUUACAGCAAAAAAAAAAAAAAAGUCUACACAGAAAAGUAUAGGAAUAAAGGAGCUUACAUUGGAUAUUAACAAAGCAGAUAUUUAUGGAGGAAUGACCAGAGUUGUGUAUUUGUCACAAGUAUUUUAAUAGAAUCAAGAAGAGAAGAUACCCACAAGUAUGUGAAGCUGUGUUAUAUUUUGUUACUAAGAUACCAAAAAAAAGAAUUGUCUAUCACACAGUAAGCAACACAGCUAAAGGCAGGAAAGUUGCCAAACCCAGAGGAAUAUACACAGGGAAGUAUCAAAUGAGCAAAGGCUGGUGGCACUAAUUUCAUGCAUGAGCAGGACUGUUCUUAAAGCAUUAUAUCACAGUUUAAUGGGCAGAGUGGUGUUUUUCUUUUUUGGUGAUAAAUAAACCAGCCAAUCAAUGGUAUCUAGAUAAUUUGAUAUAUAGUGCGACAUUUGGGUCAAGGGACAGAAACCCACCCACUUUAACUUAAACCUAAGGCAGUGGUGUGCUAGAGCCGGCUCGUGUAAGCUCACAAAAGAUGAGUAUAUAUGCACAAGUCUACAUGUAGUGAUGUUACAAUAGCGUAAAAUAGGUCAUGGGGGGAGUAUUUACAUCUUGGAAACUGGCAAGUGCUACAAAUCAAGGCUUUGUUGUUUGUUUGCUUUUUAAGAGCUGUUUUACCAGCACACCACUGCCAGAGGGGGAAUUUGUGGAUUAUAUAGGCAUAGCUCAUGGAAGCUCUACUAGGGUUUGGAACCAGGUAAUGUAAAAUUAUCAAGAACAAUGACAACUCUUUUCUAUGUUUAUUUUCCUCUUGGUGUCUCUGGAGCCACAUGGCGUCUCUUGUCUUCUUAGAUCUCUUUGGUCUUCUCUCUCGGGAGAAAAUGGCCACCUCUGGAACAAUCAGGUUUGCGUAAAAUCAUACAGUCAGGCGUCACAUAAUAACACUGCAGUCACUGAUGGACCACGUAUAUGACAGUGCUCCCAAAAGAUAUAGUGGAGCUGGGAAAUUCCUGUCAACUGAUGAUGUCAUAGCUGCCCUAACAUCUAGCACAACACAUUACUCAUGGGUUUGUGGCAAUGCUGGUGUAAACAAACCUACUUUGCUGCCAGUCAUAUAAAAGUAGAGCACAUACAUUUCUAUACAGUGCAUAAUACCAUAAUACUUGAUAAUAUAAUAAACGACUGUUACUGGUUUAUAUAUUCACUAUACUAUACUUUUUGUUGUUAUUUUACAGUGUACUCCUUCUACUUAUUUUUUUUUUUAAAAAAACAAGUUAACUGCAAAACAGCCUUAGGCAGUUCCUUCAGGAGGGAUUCCAGAAGAAGGCAUUGUCAUCAUAGGAGACGAUAGCUCCAUGCAUGUUAUUGCCCCAGAAGACCUUCCAGUCAGGCAAGAUGUGGAGGUGAAGACAGUGAUAUUGAUGAUCCUGACCCUGUGUAGGCCUAGGCUAAUGGGUGCGUUUGUGUCUUCAUUUUUAACAAAAAAAGCUUUAAAAGUUUUAAAAAACUGUUCUUAAUAGAAAAAAGCUUAUAGAAUAAGGAUAUAAAGAAAGAAGACACCUGUAUCUCUGCACGAUGGGUUUGUAUUUUUCUUGUUUUGUUUUUACACUCCUGUCCCUCCCCCAGGUCCUGUGUUUGUGUUUUAAGCUAAGCGUUAUUACAAAAGAGUCAAAAAAAAAAAAAAAAAUGAUGAGUACCUCAAGUUCAUUCUUCUUUUUUUUUUUUGAGAGAGUCUCCCUCUUUCUCCCAGGCUGGAGUGAAGUGGCGUGAUCUCAGUGUGAUCUCAGCUCACUGCAACCUCUGCCCCCACAUUCAAGUGAUUCUUCUGCUCAGCCUCCCGAGUAGCUGGGAUUACAUGCGCCCACCACCACACCUGGCUAAAUUUUGUAUUUUUAGUAGAGACAGGGUUUUGUCAUGUUGGCCAGGCUAGUCUCAAACUCCUGACCUCAGGUGAUCCACCCACCUCAGCCUCCCAAACUGCUAGGAUUACAGGCGUGAGCCACCAUGCCCAGCCGAGUUCAUUCUUAAAGGAAAUUGGUUAGGGUGAAAAAGUGAGCUAGAAGUGUGUUUCAAGCUGAAGGAAUAGAAAAUUCCAGCCUAGGCGACAGAGCCAGACUCCAUCUCAAAAAAGUAUCACAUAGAGAUGAGUUAUAUGUACUCGUUCACACUGUAAAAUAUUAAUAAGUCAAUAUGAGUGAUGGUUAAAAAAGGUAAUAAAACACUUUUAGGGUAAACAGCACUAUAUCUAGAACCACAAGACAAAAGGCACAGUCUAACUCAUGACAUCAAUGGACUCAUUCAAUUUGAGCCAUGGUUUCAGCCAGUGUAAAUGAAAGUAUACCUACUCCUNNNNNNNNNNUUUCAAGCUGAAGGAAUAGAAAAUACCAAGGCACUUAGAGUCCCUAGAGCAAAAAUUGGAAACUAGGUAUGGUAGAAGAUGAGGCUGAAGAGGAGGGCAAAGGCCAAGCAUGAGGGCCUCAUAUCCCAUGUUGAGGAGCUUGGAUCUUAUUCUGCACAUGACAGAGUUUCAAAGACCAAAGGUAUCAAGCCUGGGAGACCUGAGGUCUAGAUCUAUGUUCCCAGUAGGCACACAAACUCCUGCAAUGUAUCAAGCUGCAAUGAAGAGAACUGUCAAGGCAAUUGGAAGCUUGAAAUGUAGACGUGCCCAUCAACUGAGUCUUUCCAUAAUGUGAGCAAAUCAUUUACUCUCCCAAAGCCUCAGUUUCUUCAUCUACAAAAUAGAGGUAGCUAAUACCUACCCUCUCACUACCUCAAAGGGUUGCUGGGAAGGGAAAUUAUAUAAUUUGUGUAAAAACCCUCCUAGAAGAGUAAAACAUGGUUCAAGGAUAAGGUACCUACUCAUCUGUAAAAUGAGGGGGUUGGCCUUGAUGGAAUCUAAUGUUCUUCAACUUCUAAAGUUUUACAACUCUGUUAUUAUCCUUAUUAUCUGAUGAUCAUGAUAAAAUUAUGGGGUUUAUGGACCUGAAACACCCUCCUCUCAUCUUGCCAAGAAAACUGAAUGUGAAGCUCUUAGUCUGGGAAAUACCACUUCCUACGUGGUUGUUUCCACUGAGACACCAGUAACCAUAAAGUUAUGCAGGAAUGUGAACUGUUUGGGUUUGAAUAGGAAAAGGAAAUUGAUUUAUAAACCAGGAAGAUAACCAAACCUCUAAAAAAGAACAAAGGUUUUCUCUCUGUACAUUACAUGUAAAUAUGUAACAGAAUCCCCCAUUUGGUAACCUCUCUGCUUUUUAAAAUAUUACAUAUCAUGCUACAAUUGAAAUGCCAAGUGACUUAACAGUAGCUUUAGAAAAGCGUGGAUAAAACUUAGAGGUUUAGAAUGAUGAGAUUCGGAGAACUUUUUCCUUUCCUAAAUUGCCCUUCAGCCACAGCGUUUCACGUUCAUUAACUCUUGUGUUUUAGAAAGGGAAAAAGGAAACAAUCUCCUUCCUAAAGAUAUUUCAUCCAAUGUGGUACAGCUGAUGAUCAAUAAUAGAUUGGAACCAUUGCAACACGCCCAGAAGGCUUCUUAUGUGUUAGGCACCAGGCUGACUGCUUUAUUUGCAUUCCCUCACGUCGUCCUUACAAAAUCCCUAAUGAACCAUGCACUUUAUAACCAUGGCCCCAUUAUACAGAUGAGACACUGAGGCUCAGAUAGGCUAACUGGCUUGCUCAGGGUCCCAUAGCCAGCAAGUGGUGCCACUGGGAUUGAAAGUCACAGAGCCAGAAUUCAUCAACCUUGCUAUCACCUUGUGAUAGCUUGUCUCUGACUGUUUAAAUGUGAUUCCCUAAAAACGAUUUUUCCAGAACAAAAGUUAAUUUCCUGACCCGUAUGGAGGGUGGGGAGAGUGGUUGGAAAAGGAUCACAAUAGAAAUG
rnacentral:lncRNA from 1 species